rnacentral:rRNA from 1 species
GAUGAACGCUGGCGGCGUGCCUAAUACAUGCAAGUCGAGCGAACGGACGAGAAGCUUGCUUCUCUGAUGUUAGCGGCGGACGGGUGAGUAACACGUGGAUAACCUACCUAUAAGACUGGGAUAACUUCGGGAAACCGGAGCUAAUACCGGAUGAUAUUUUGAACCGCAUGGUUCAAAAGUGAAAGACGGUCUUGCUGUCACUUAUAGAUGGAUCCGCGCUGCAUUAGCUAGUUGGUAAGGUAACGGCUUACCAAGGCAACGAUGCAUAGCCGACCUGAGAGGGUGGACGGCCACACGGGAACUGAGACACGGUCCAGACUCCGACGGGAGGCAGCAGUAGGGAAUCUUCCGCAAUGGGCGAAAGCCUGACGGAGCAACGCCGCGUGAGUGAUGAAGGUCUUCGGAUCGUAAAACUCUGUUAUUAGGGAAGAACAUAUGUGUAAGUAACUGUGCACAUCUUGACGGUACCUAAUCAGAAAGCCACGGCUAACUACGUG